rnacentral:misc_RNA from 1 species
ACAACCUCAACUCCUUCUUCAUUGCGGAGAAAGAGUUGGAUUUGAGCAUUUCCACAAGUUCGUCUUGGAGGAUUGCUUGAAAUACGAGGUUCGGCCGGCAGUUGCCUGGGCUACAAGCAUUUCAUACUUAAUCCCGUCAAACGGAUUAUAUCCUUUGCUGCAGCCAACAUACAGGGUGACUUUUUGCCAGUGUUCCGACUGAUGCAGGAAAGUUGAGAACUUUGGUUCUCUUCUAAAC